rnacentral:rRNA from 1 species
AACGAACGCUGGCGGCAGGCCUAACACAUGCAAGUCGAGCGAAGCCUUCGGGCUUAGCGGCGGACGGGUGAGUAACGCGUGGGAACGUGCCCUUUGGUACAGAAUAGCCCCGGGAAACUGGGAGUAAUACCGUAUGUGGUCGAGAGACGAAAGAUUUAUCGCCAAAGGAUCGGCCCGCGUUGGAUUAGGUAGUUGGUGGGGUAAUGGCCUACCAAGCCGACGAUCCAUAGCUGGUUUGAGAGGAUGAUCAGCCACACUGGGACUGAGACACGGCCCAGACUCCUACGGGAGGCAGCGGUGGGGAAUCUUAGACAAUGGGGGAAACCCUGAUCUAGCCAUGCCGCGUGAUCGAUGAAGGCCUUAGGGUUGUAAAGAUCUUUCAGUGGGGAAGAUAAUGACUGUACCCACAGAAGAAGCCCCGGCUAACUCCGUGCCAGCCGCCGCAGUAAAAC